UGCCAAGCUUUCUUGACUCGUGUGUCUACUCCUUCUUACUACUCAGGCUAUCAGAUCAAAUACCACGAAGAAAUGAUUAAUGAAACGCUCUAAAUAUCGUGGAUCAGCUUCAGAGUCCCCAUUCCAGGGGGACAACAGCCUCACAAGACAUUGGCAGUGAUGCCAUUAGUACCUUUAGAUACUUACUCCUGGCCACUGCCACAUCCUCAGCCAACAAAAUCAGAUCAAAAGGAAACAACACCAAUUUCUUACUACAUCCUGCUGUUUUUUUUUUUUGUUUUGUUUUGUUUUUAGUGUGGAACUAUUAUUUGCUUCAAACCAUAGUACUACAGUGUGCUGACACAAAUCACAGAGGGUAUAUCCUACAGGAUAAUAUCUUAAGACACCAAAAAAAAAAAAAAAAUUCUGAAGUCAAGACCUCUGUUAGCAAGUCCCCUUGCCCCUAAGCCCUCUUUCAGGGCAGUUGCCACAUUCAAAGGAAAAGAACACAUCAACAACGUAAGAAUGACCUUCAGAAUAUUCCCCCCUGCCCCCACCCCUCCCUAAGAGAACAAAAGAAAACCAAACAACUAAAAAGUAUUUAGCCACCAGUCCACAUACAUGCAAGGUCUUUCUGGAUUUCUAGUAAGUAUGACAGCUAAGCAGUUAAGAGAAGCCCUUUAGAUGUUUGACAUUUAUUCUAAAUGUAAAAGUCAUUAGUGUAUGGUAACACAAUGAAAGCUCCAGUUAGUAGCAAGCCCUAACACAUCGCUAUCUGGGGUGAAACGCAUCAGGGCUUCUGCAGCAAAAUUCCAGACUUCCGAAUGCUCCUUUGCCUGAUUUCAAGGGGAGAAAUGUUGCAGAAAUAUUCUGUACGUGCAUCUGCUCUCCUGGGCACAUGAAGCCUUUGUUUUAAUUAACAAAGUUGACAAAUGUAUUCUUCAGACAACUAUGUGGUUGAGAACUGUUCACAGUUAAUUAGCGCCUUUGUUUCAGCCUUAUGCCCUUACUUCUAGGGAGCAAGAUACACUCCGGACUCCAGCACCUCCGGCAGCUCUAGCCAUUAGCUCCUACUCUAAAUUUCUGACACUCCCUGAACUGCCACAGAAGUUAACUUCAGCUUGCUUUUUUUUCCCCCACAGCUAAGGGUUCCCAUUUCAGAGCAGGAGGCAGACAAACAGUGAAACUUCUAAAAUUAAUCCUGACCACAUCAGAUCCACCUAGCCCAAAACACAGGCACUCUACCACAUAACCCGUGAGCCCUCCCGCAAAAGCCUGCGCAGUGUAACUGCUACCGUUAGAAAAUUAAGAAAGAGGAAAAAAAAGACCGAAACAAGUAUUUACAUAAUAAGAGAACUGGAACACCUGAUCAGAAAUUCAUCUCGGUGUUCUCUCUCAGAGGCUUUGUUACAGGAGACCUGUUCUGGCUUUUGGCUUUAUUUCUUGCCUUAGAAAUUCCUGAAACAAAAUGGUGAUGGUCCCACGGUGCUGCGAGUUUAAACAUCGACACACAAAAAAGCAGACAGGUAGAAGCCAUCGACUCUGAGAAAUGAUUUAAUUGAUUUACUUCAACUGCAGAAGUAAAUGUGCUGCGUGUGUUUUUAAUUAAAGAAAUCAGAUGUCUCCACUCAUCUGGCUCUGAUCCAUGCUGUGCCAACUUAAGCCCUGCCAAUGAAUCUGAAUGGUCCAACAAGCCUCUGUCCCUCCUCAAACAUCCACCAUUCACAUUAAAUAAAGCACAUAACAAUUGAAGGAAAAUAGACCUGAAAAGAGCUUAUUUCCAAAUGUAAAGGUCUAACCUGAAGAUAGCUAUUUUCAUGUAAAUCUGAAUUCUUCUUGUCCAUAUACAUAGACCAAUAAUUAUCUGUUCACUUAACACUCUAAGCUUCUCUUAUGCGAUUAACAGGGAGGAGCAAAUUAAAAGGAAAAUGGAAUGGAAAUCCCUCAAAGCAAUAGAAGAGAAAUGUACCUUCCCUGCUCACAAACUAGCAAAAGGGACCGAAAGCAAACUUCUGCAUUCAGGGCAACGAGAAGAGGAAAAAAUGAGUUGAAACCCCAAAUUCAUUUUGCACAGCAAAAGCUAGGCCAGCCUGGCAAAAUCUGGGAGGGUUCUGCUCUUAGCAUCAGUUUUAACUACUAAUCUGCUCUUAGUCCCUUUCGGAAUGGGAAAGAGUCUCUAAUUCAGCCAGCCUUACCUUUGCAGAGCUCGCACAGUAGAGAUGCUGAUGCAGGGUCUUUGUGAGAAAGUCACGUUUAAAAUACCUUCCCACAAAAACCGUUCAGCAUCUGGACACGUGCUCCAUAAAAUCUCAGCUAUCUUGUACAUAUCCACUGCAGCAUGUCACUACUACCUCAAAAGCUGAGAUUCCAGUUUGGAAACUGGAAUUCCCAAAUUUCACCUCCAACAUAUUUUGGUCUGAAAACAAUGAAAAUAAAAUAUUAUUAACUGCUGUGAAAAUUUGGCAUGAAAAUUUAAAAAGAAGAAAGAAACAUUGCUGAUCAGUGAAAGUAGCAUACACGUUAAGUUUUAUCGUGAAUACAAAUUUCAAUUUCAGUGAAAACCUGCAGAAAGCUACCAGCAUUGCCUGUGGUAGUAGUAGCUUCCAUGUGAACUGGGCAGAGGAACAAGUCCCAUGUAGUGCUGAAACUAUACAAGCUCUCAGGAUUACAAGCCAGGCUGUAAUAGAAACUUGUCCCACUAUCUGCAAAAGAUCAACAUGCCCACGCUACCUCAACUGAAAUAAAUUUAUUUAUUAACUGAACUUAUGUUUUAUUAUGCAUAAUCCUUCUAAAAUGAAGCAAUUACCUUGACUCUGCUUAGCUCAUUCAGAAAUGGUCUCUCUACUGAUGGCUUCAACCAAGUAAGCUACUUCCAGCCUCGGAUAAAGUAGAAGCUCCUUCUAUUAAUCCAUACAGGCAAGGCCUGGUCAUGACGGCCUACCAGUUCAAGUGCUGGUCCUAUUAUUAUUAUUUUUAAACAGUUCAUGAUUAUGCCCAGAAUCAUGGCAGGACAAAUUUUCAAGAGUAUGGAUAUAAAAAAAAAAACAAACUAUGCUAUCACCCACCAUAUAGAAUCAAAGGAUUAAAAUAGUUACCAUAAUUUUAACCAGAAAAAUCACCAGGACCAUAGGAGCAUGAGCUGAAACACUGGUCAGAAUACUCUGAACUUGUCUACCCUAACAUUUGGCGUACUUCUCCAGUCAUAAGAGAAAACUGAAAGAACUUAUGGAAUUAGCUGACAGACACAACAGAAUGAACUCUAAUGUGGAAGCCAAGUGCUAACAUGAAGACACCAGCUCCAGAGAUCCUGUUGACCUGUAGUCUUAUUGGGUCUGCAUUUUUCAGAUGACCCAUUUGUAAGUUUCUUUCAUCUUUGUCUGCAUUAAAUAAGGAAGAGAAUGAGUAACAGGGAAGAAAUCAAAAGACGACACAAAUUAGCAGCGUAUUAAAUUAUGCCAUACAAGCUAUUGCCUUGUAAAAAUGUGGAUGGAUGCUUUACAGAAUUUUUGUAAUUUAUGAUGGUGCUAAGAAAGUAUAUUAGGAAAAAGGCCAAUGAGUUACAUUCCUUGGAAAAAAAAAAAAAACACUAGAAAAUAGUGAUCUGGUAAGAAUAACAUUUAUCAGUGAACAAGACUGCUUCUGUGGAUUGCUGUCUCCUUUUCCAAAACUCUACAUUACUCACUAUGACUAUAAAACAAGAAAGAUCACAACAUCCCAAGUUUCUCACAAAACCUAACACCACUCUGACAGGGUUACGCCAAAAAGUCACCUGUCUGCUCUUUGCAUACAGUGCAUUUCUCAUAGCAAAGCAGGCCUGCCUGUACAGGUGUCAGUGUAUCCCCUCAAUUAGUGCUAUUGUAGCAGAUAAUCAGCUAUUAACAAUUCCCAACAGUCAAAAAGCAACCCCCAAACCUAAAAUUUCACUUAUGUACUUAUCUUAAAGAACUAAGCAACAUCUCUCUGGCAGAUUUGUGUGUGGCUUAAAGAUGAGUAUUUUUGACAAAUUCCAGAGCAAAAUGGUAUGUCUCAAAGGAAACUUAAUUCUAAGCUCAUUUGUACUCAGAUCUACAGUGUGGCUGUCCCAAUGUCAAGCAUUCAAAUAUUUCAUAUUCAAACAUUUUAACUCUUUGUUCCCAGGGCUCCACCCAGGAACACAUGGUAGAUCUCCACCGAGCUCAGCCUGCAUAUAGUAAAGAGGAUCUGAACUCCAGCCUAGAAAGCAGCGUGAUACUAGUAUUUAUUAUAGCACUUAAGCAAGUAUUUCUCUCAGGAUAUAGAUCACUCAGGCUGCACAUUCAUGAGCUCCAACCUCCACUCAGAUAACUUGGCUGCAGCCUCAGCUCUUGAGCAUGUCACGCAGAUCGCAUACUUUGCUAAGCUUGGAGGAACCUGGAAAACCCCUAUGAACAUUUGUCUACAGUGAGCAACGGUUCAUCUGCUAAUUUUGUUCCUUCAACUCAAGUGUUAUCUACAAUUUCUGCUAUACACACAGUAUCCUUCCUGCACUAGUCCAGAUGUUAGACAGCUAAAGCAUCAUUAUUAGACUAUCUGCUCUGUAGUAAGGUAGCAGUCGGCUUGAUCUAGCUGUCAGUGGAAAUGGCUAAGACACUCCUAGACAGCACUGAUGAAUGCUGCAAUACAUGUAUUUUAAAAUAGUAUAUCCAGUCUAUAAAAACAGAUUAUCAAAUGAAACAUACCCUGCUUAAAACUUCCAUUAUAUGCAUUUCAAGAGAAAGAAACUUCACUACAGCCUCCUGUUUCUGAGGUACAAACAUCUUGUUCCUGGUUCUUUCAGCAACUGCAAACAAAUAAUUAGCCCUUCUGAACCCAGGAGUCCUGUACCCUGUAGUUAAUGUGAUGUUACUAAUGCAUUUAUAAACACCAGGCUCCAAAGCCAACACUGAGAUAUUCCAUCACAAUUUAGACCUCUCAUUAACUUCACCACCCUCCCCAACAUGCUGUCACUGGCAGAGUGUUUGACAGUUUACAUUACCUGCAGACAUGCGUUCGUGUCAAUUCAAUUAAGAAAGAUUAAUUCCAGAACUGACAACGCAUAAAUAUUUUUAAAUUACACCUGGCCUUGUUGGCAGUGCUUACUCCAGACUGAUUUCAGAAGAGAACAUGUCCUUAGCGCCCUGGGUAGAAAGAUAAACUAGGAGGAAGGUAAAAGAAAGAAUUCAUUAUGAAAUUAGUACUCCAUUAUUGAGUCCAUAUCUAGCCUUUUUUUAAUCCUUCCCCUCAUUCCCAAAAUAAUUAAACAAGCUUAUCUCUGUCUGUUAUAGAAUUAAAGGAAACAGGAAAGAUUUGAUCCAAAGAGACACUGCCAGAAAAAUCAUCAGAGACAUCUUUAUGAUCAUCUUUUGCUGACUGGUUUAGGUGCAAAUUUCCAGGUUUUCCUCAAGCCAGUCUCUUCCAGUGGGGACAUGGGACACUAGCAUCCCCAAAAUGGGAUGAAUCACCUGUUUGGCGCUUGUAUGCAGACCACACUGUUAAUGUUCCGGCAAGCAAGUAAAAGAUGUCACAGGCUGCAACAUCCUGGGACUAGCAAGCACAGAGUAGAUCGACAGUCUUCUGGACAGCUUCAGUGCAACAGUACCACUGCUCCCUGAAAUGAGAUCAGGAAAUGAGGAAUAACUUUGCUCCAUCAAGACAUGCAGAUGACAAUGACUGGCACUAUCACACUUAAGCACAAAGACUUAAGACUUAGAUGGGAGAUCAUUAUUUUGCAUAUGCAUAUGCUCAGCCUGGAGACCAGGAUGAAGAGCCAGAGGAUGGGGUGAGGAAAACAAACAAAAACAACAAAGCAGAAAAGGCUUCAUGGGACCUCAGCAAAAGGAUUGAUGUCUGCAGAUUACUUCUUUACUGAGUGGCAGAGGACAACAAACUACAAGUGCCGCCAACCCAAAAACUCCGCCAGAAGUCCCUAUGGGAUGAAUUCUUAGAAAUUCCAUCUCGUGGAAUCACAAUGAUGUUGUGAACAAAGCCAAGCCUUUCAGAGAUGCUGCAUGGUCUAGCGAUGGUCAGAGGAGAAGACAGAGCUAUUAGGAUACUGGGUUUAGUCCAGAUUUACAGCACUGACUCAGUCUGGGACAAGUCACUUGACCUCCUAUACCUCAAACAGUCCAGCUGGAAGACACAGAAAGAAAAGCAGCAACCCUGUAUGAGAAACAGUUAUUAUGACUAAGAUCAGCUCCUGGAUAAAACAAGCAUCAAAUAAAAUGUGUUUUCCAUAUGGAAGUUGCUUUCCUAAAGUGGAACAAAAUGUAAAUGCCUGUCAAUUACAAUUAUCUGAGAGGCAAGUCUUGAGAAAAGCAGCUCUGUGACAGACCAACAGGAAAGCCUCAGCUAGCAAUGAAGGACAGUUUUUGAGGGGUAGAGAAAUGGGAGAUGGAAGGUAGUCAAGCAUCUGGCAGCAACAAAGGUGAAACCAUGAUCUGAAGAGGUCAGAGAGAACAAUAUAUCUGAGUCAGAAAAGGUCACUUAUUCAAUAUUCCAGCUGUAAAAUGAAAGAAUGCAAGAGGAGAUUUUUCAGAGUAGAAAUCACAGAUGCAAGAACAUCUAAAAGGUAGACUGUUAUUUGAAAGUGCCAUUGACAUAUGAUGAAUACAUCCUCCCAUGCCAAAUAAUUUCUCAUCAACUCUUGAUUUUACCUUUUCCUUCUCCCCUCUUCUCUAAGCAGUCACACCUGGUUUCCGAGGUUUCCAUACUGCCCAGGAAUCCAGUCUUUUCAUUACAUUACAAUCCUAACUUUAUUAGCUCUGCAUGGUUCUAAAUAUUAAACCGCCUGAAAAAUCCCGGUCUUCUACAAUUCUUCUAAAACCCACAUAUCACAGACACGUUAAUACUAGGAGAUCAAAUAUUUCCUAGGAAAUAGUGGGUACAUUGCAGCCAGGUUCUAUACUUGCACAUUCUUCAACAGGUACAAGUGCCGUUCUUCCAAAAAUGAUUAUCGCUACUCUGCUGCCAUAAUAACAUCUUUACAGAAACCCAAGACUGAAAAAAACCUAUGAAGAUGAGAAGAUGAGUUUCGAGGCUAUCAUAUACUCUACUUGUCCUGGACCACACAUUAACCCAUCAGCAGUAAUACAAGAUUGCUCUAAGCAUGCCUGUGUCAGAAUAUAACUAGAUCCCAAUGUGAGGUAGUAUAAAAAUGAGAUUUCUUCUGUUCUGUCUGUCCUUAGCUGUGCUUUCUGCAUUUUUCUAUGACAGAAAGCCAUUUCAU